AUCAGCAUCUGAAGUUUGUUUCUUUGGUUUUGUACUGGGGCUACAAAAGCUAAUGUAGCUUAUAGGCACAAGGUUAGCAAUUUGCAAACCGCAUGCUUAAAUUAUCACGCAAUUAGGCCAAUCACGAUUGUUACAACAUUAAAGUUGUAAUGUCCCAACGUCAUUCUACAAUCUUUAAAAAAUUACAUUAUUACAAUACACUUAGGCUUAAAUUAAAGUUGUGCUGGGAAGUUAACAGAAAAGACUAAAACAUUAUUGACAACUGAUUGAGCAAAAUCUUCUUAACUGUCCCCUAAUGAUCUCGCUAAUCUCCUAGAACUUUUCCAUAAGUUCUGCCAUUUCAGGCCUGUGCAGAGAUGCAAAAAUGCUGUAUAUGCUUGUAUCACUGCACAGCGUGAAGACAACGCAAUAUAAUUAAAACUCUACCGUAGAAACCCGAACAAAUCGGCAAAAUAUAUAACAAAAAAUUUGGUGUAUGUCGCUUCAGUGCACAAGUCACAGCAUCAGCUAGAGAGUAAUAAACUCUAGUUGAGACAAUUGGGGAUGGUAAUUACUGCAUUAAUAAGAAUAACACUCAAAAAAUUGACUUUAUUUUCGCGUAAUGCUGAACAGUUUAUACAUUCUGUAUACAGAACUGUAUAACAGUAUAAAGCGCUGUGUAUUGUCGCUCGCCGCCUGAAGGCACUGCACUGAGGCUGACCCCAUGGGAACAGCACACACGGGGUUUAGGAGCUAAACUGCACAGUGUGAAGAAGCAACACAACACAACCCAGUGGUGUAAUUAUCACGUUGAAAAGGUGGGAAUGGCUCCAGCAUAAACACCGUAAAUGGUUUAUACACAAACGGUUGCAUCAGACAUAACAUCAAGCGCGUAGAGCCUUAAACCAGGUACUAAAUUACACACUGCUCCUGAUUAUCACAGCACAGAGUAAGCAAGUCCUAGACAAUACAGUCAACAGCCACAAGACCAGAGGCAUGAGCAUCCACGAGCUUGUUUAUGGCUGUGCCCAAGUAAAAAAAUAAAAAGAUAAAACUGAAAGGUACAGCGUUCUGUAGCUGUACCAGUGGCUGAGUCAUGUGACAUCAUGAAACCAGGAACAACUGGUUAUAAUUUCAGUCUGAGCAAUGGGUUACGUAUUACGAAAUCCUCUAAAUACCACUCCACGUUCAGUCCAUAAUACUUACAGCACUAGCCCAACAUUAUUAUAACAAGGUUUUAAGAAGGUUAGGCUGCAAUGUUUAAAAAAAUAACAUUCCUGCACUGUUACAAAACAUUCUGCUUUUUCUCCAUGGGCUGUAUUCUGAGUUGAGUUAUGCACACAUAAAGAGGAUUUAAUUCUGAUAUUGCGCACAUCAGUAUUCAGACCUCAUUUCUGGAUGCUUGAGUAAAACAGAGGCAUGUCUCAGACGCAGUUUUAUCUUUGGACAUUUUUCUUGCGUGAUAUCGGCUCAAGUGACAAGCAGUAUGAAGUCCAGCAUCAGUGUAUUAUAGUUUGAUGUAACUGCAAUAUGUCACACUGAAAUUUAGGUUUUAGAUGUAAAUACAGAUUAUAUUGUGUGGACACAUUAUGAUUUAAUUACCCCGAUUUAGUAUGUUGUGGUUUCAUUAAGUUGUGCGCAUGAAGUAAGUGUCAGCGCAUUAUACGCUGGAUCAAGUGCUAUUUUGAUCAUUUAAUAUUGCGUCCGUGUUACAUCGUAUAACAUUUAACUGCAUGUUUCCUACUUCAGUCUGUAUUUUCUAUCCCUGAUUUUUUUUUUUUCAGGUUUAAAGGCUCUGUAUUAAGACAGUUGUCUAGAUGGUAUUGAAAAACCCCGUCCUUGAUGCUUCUACUCAGUGAUAACCUCAGUGGUAUGAACUCUACUCUACUUAUUUUAUUCAUCUAAAUGUAUAGCCCGCAAAAGGUAAAGAUAAGAUAAAACAAUCUGACAUUUGGUAACUGGAAAUAAUCUGAACCUUACAAUAUGGCAGUAUUUAAAAACGGCUUCAUGAUACAUGAUAAAGGUCAGCAAAACAGUUGAGUCACAUCUGAACAAAAAGUUCAGAUUCAGUCAGCUGAGUAACAGUGGAGUUAAAGAAGCAAUGACUCCUCGUAUCAGGAUGUUAAUAUAAUCCCAAUAACAAUAUAUUGCCAUCUCGUCUAGCCUUAAUAUAUAAGGUCAAUUAUAUAACAAAGUUAUAUAUAAAAUUUUAAAAAGUUUUACACAUUUCUAGAUCCUAAAUCCAGCCCUAAUGGCUUACACAAAAAGAAGAGAAGUGCUUACACACUUGAGUCAGAAAAGCUGUUAAGCCUGUAUGAAUGCAUGAACAGGACAUAUUGGUUUCUUCCUCAAUGCGAGUGUGUGUGUGUGUGUGUGUGUGUGGUUGAAACUUGGUGCUGUAAAUAAACCAGACCAGCUCAGUCAGAGAAUCUAAUAAAGACAUACUUAUUGUAUCUGCACAGUGAAAAGGCCAGGAUGACGCGCACAGGGUUUAACAAAAAGGGUUGCUGAAUCAUCACUCACACACAGACACACACACACAGACACACACACAGAUUUCUCCUAAAUACUCCCAAAUGCCCUUUUCCGAAGUCCCCCAAUGCGCUCUCCAUGCUAAAACACACUAAUGUUCAUCAUGAAAUGUUUGUGAUUAGUGAUUCUGCUGCUAAUUUGUUGGUUGGUGCUGUAUUUUUCUUCUCAUGUUCUUCUCAUCUUCUCAGUUCUUCUCAUGAGAAGUUAGCGGUUGACCUCACCGGGGAGCAUUGUUAUUGCUCGCACAGUUACAAUGGCAUUUACUAAGGAUUUCUUUCCUCAUUUUUCAGCUUUAAAUGAUUUCCUUUCCCCUAAAACACCAUACACUUAGUUUACUGGCAAAUCACGGUAUGUGAACAAGUUCAACCCAGGUGUAAAGCUAUACAGAAUUGCACUUUUUCCAUGUACUACACAGUUAUAGAAGAGAUUUAUUUAUAAUCGCACUAUCCAUUAUCACCCAGAUGAGGAUGGGUUCCCUUUUGAGUCUGGUUCCUCUCAAGGUUUCUUCCUCAUAUUGUCUCAGGAAGUUUUUCUUCGCCACCGUCACCUCUGGCUUGUGCAUUAGGGAUAAAUUCACACAUUUACAAUUAAUUUCGAUUAAAUUUAUUUUGAAUGUAUUUAUUUUAUGUGACAAUGUCCAUUGUUAAAAGCGCUGUACAAAUAAAAUUGAAUCGAAUUGAAUUAUACAGAAGACUUCAGCCUUUCUAGAAAGCUAACUAUUAAUAUUUAGCUAUGUAAUAUCCUGCUAGUUUAAAUAGGUCACCCAUACAGCAGGCGGCAACUGCUGUAUUUAUUUAAUUAUAAAAUACAAGUAAUAACAAACUUUUCAUUUAAACAAAUGGAUAAUAAGCUGGACUAUCUUUAACAGCUAGCCCUGUCGACGCUCUAAUACUUAGCUAGCUAUAUACUGCAGAAAAGCUACUGUAGUUAAAUGACUUAUUCGGUAAACUCAUUUUAUUUGAUUCCUUCAUUAGUAACAUAUUUUAAGAUGUACAUUUGGCAAUAAGGUUAACUUCAGUAUAACUAGUAUAAAACUGCAGUGUUGAUUUUUUUAUGCUAACAUACCAUUACCUGUAGAAAUACAGUUUUGAUGUAAACAAGCAUUACAGUAGGAAGGCUGUAAAUAUUAAGUAAAGUAACUACCUGGCAACUCUACAGCGAUUUAUACGGUUGUUUACAAUAUACAGAAAUAUUGAAGUACCAUCCAAGUAGGCAGGUAUGGGAGUAUCCUUCCUUCAGAAGAACCCAGAAUUCCCCAGACAGUGUGAGAAUUCCCUACACCCUCACGCCAUGUAUGAUAAAAUACGGCCACACAGCCUGUGGGAACCAGAACAUUCCUCGGCUGCUUGUUGUGUCUUUGGAAAGAUUAAUGUGUCUUCCAUAUUAGGAGAGGAAGAGCGAACCCAAUCUGACAAUCUGUGCGGAACAGAUAUGACCUUCACAUCUGAUUGGUUGAAACCGAAAGCGUCAUUUUUGCGAGUGAUUAUGGUAGUGGAAUCUUGUUGAUACCAGCAUUCCAUGCUAUAUGAUAGUAUGUGACGUAAGCCACGCUAAUGAAGAAAUGACAUGAAAUCUGGAUGUAUUCUACUAUUAAUAAUGGCAAUCAAAGCAAACUAUGAUAAUAGAUAAAUAUCAAGGAGGAAGUACAGCAUCUUCCUAAAAUAGAAGUAAGCUGAUAAAACAUCUUAUGAUAUUUAAACAGUCUGUUUAAUAGAGAGUGCGAGUGCAUAUCAUCUCUGUCCCUCACAUGCGAGAGUUUCUCUGCACGCUCGCUUCACUGCUCCACACGCAUGUGAGAGGGAGAGAACACUUCAGAUUGGUGAGCACUGAGCACUUUGCUCUAAACUUUGCAAUAUACAGCACACUGUGUGCAUAUUUAAUGACCAUACUUGCUGUACUUCUCUGUGCACUAAGGUCAGCUGACCUUGAUCUCUCUAUAAAAGAUACUGUUUAAACAGCAUCUUAAAUCUUAAAUAAGCUUAAACAAUCUUCAACAUCUUAAUAAUGAGGAGUUCAUUGCUAGCAGCACACCAACAGGUAAGUAGGUUACUCAUUUAAUUAUCGGUGCCAACGGGUACCAAAACAUGCACUUGUAAUUAUACUCAUUCUGAAAAAAAUGGCAUACAUCGAUACAUCCCUAGUCUUGUGAUCAGUGGUUGGAAGAAAUGAUCCACACCUAUAAGACCAGCAGUGAAGAACUUUCCCAUCUAGCGUUAACUUGUAAUCUGUAAUACUGACAGCUGGUUGGCUUACUGAGAGAGAAGAGAGUGGGUGGAAUACUCCUCAGUGUCGGGAAAUGAGCUAACUUUUCCAUGGUGAAGCCAUUGAAUACCAGACACGUGGGUUUUCAUUACUGAGGAACAUCAUGCAAGGCCAAACGUCUAGCCAGGGUGAUAAGUGAAAAGUGAAAUGAGUCCAAACAAGUCACACCCAUGUGGAAGAUGUUUGCGAAAAAAAAAGGGACAGGCAACCACAUUAUGUAAUAUUGGUGCAACCUUGAGGUUGCCAGGAGAAAACACUGACUACUGAGUAAACUAUGGUUUGAUGAAGGCUGGGAGUGUAAAACCCUCAAGGUAUGGACCCUACAGUAGGAAAAACCCUAAUGGCCUAGACAGUCAUAAUAAUACAACUGGUAUUAUUACUGGUGAAGAAAACUAUUGGUUUUCUUUAGUAUAUAGUUUUAAUACAAGGCAUUUUUACAACAUGCCUGAGUCUAGGGCUCGGCGAUAUGAAGGUAUAAUAUCAAUAUCAUGAUAAAUUAUGACCUAAUAAGCUUUUCUGAGCUAUCAAUAUAACUUUUUUUAUUAUUUUUAAUAGUUUCAAACUGACUGGAAGUAGCUGAUGUAAUGUUAAAAUGUUGUACUUAUGAUACUUAUCGUGUUUCGUAGAAAUACCUUAGAGAUUUGCAAAAUGAUAUUUUUAUCAUAUUGCCUACCCUUGUCUGUGUUAAACAGCAAAAACAAAUCAAAAUGAAUCCAGUUCUACAUUAAAAUUUAGACAGCGCUAAACUGUGACGUAUCACACUUUAAAUGCAUACAUAAGAUUAUCAGUUUACCAUGACUCUAAAGGACAGAUCCACAUUUUAUUUUCUGAAACUGCUCUACAAUUUGGUGAAAAGAGCAUGCUAUUUUUAUUUGGUGGGAAAACUUACUAUAAAAUUGCUACUUUACAUGAUUUUGUUUAAAUUCAAAUACCAAAUGCUUCCAGGAAGUUUUUGCAGUUCUCAAGCAUGCAGUUCCAAAAAAAAGCAUCAUGCUAGAUUGUACAACCCUUCGUGUAGGCAAUGUUGGCUUUGAAAAAAAAAAAAAGAUGUCAUAUAAUAGCAUAAUUGAGAGACAAUGGAGAGUCGACAUGCAGCUCGGGUUACGUUGUAACAGUUAAAGCUUUGAUUCACAAGGUUUCAGAGCGUCUCAGUCACGCUACAACUUCUUGCCCUUCAUCUUAGGGUUGCCGCCAAACAAUGCAAAUGGGUGAAAGAUAAUGAAACCAUCAAAGUUGAAAUAAUAAAACUCCUCCAAGCCUCAGUGAACAUCAUCCCCCUCCUUCUCCUCAGGUCAGGGUUCUUCUUUCAUCAUGAGAGCUUCUGGAGAACAGCGGUAAUGAAAUCUUGACAGUUUUGGCAACAGCGUCACUUUGACUAAGCUGCAGGCUCACAAUGCAGCGGGUGGUUUCAGGUUUUGAAAUUUUUACUGUGUUAAAAUGGAACAAAGCACAGAUUGUGGUUAAUGGAGAUGGAGACUUCUCAGGUUUAAAUAAAGUGAGGACAGUGAGCGACUUGAGAAUUUGUUUGAAGUUCCACAGCCCUGGAGUGUGUACAUGGGCCUGUCCUCAGUGGAUAAAUUAAGGUAUAAGCUAUAAUGCUUUGGCAUUAAGAGAAGGACCAUGCUUCAGCCGCAGAUUAUGAUUAAUGGAGAUGGAGACUUGGGGUCUUGGAUAACCAUUUAAAUAAAGUGGGGGCAGGGACUGACUAGAGAACUUCAUUGGUGUGCAUUUGAAGUUCCACAGCCCUUGAGUGUGAGUGUAUAUGGCUUUGUCCUCGUUUGCUAAAUUAAAGUACAGUAUAAGCUGUCAUGCUUUGGCAUCACUUUGGACAGGAGCCAUCAAAAAGACAACUGAAUUAUGACCAGGUCUGUGCUAUAACUGCAGAUUGUGGUUAAUAGAGGUAGAGCCUUGGGUUCUUGGACUUUUUAAAUAAACUGAGGACAGUGAUCAACUUGAGAACUUCUUUGAUGCACAUUUUUAAGUUCAACAGCCCUUGAAGGUGGGUGUAUAUGGGACUGUCGUUAAAAUUAUGGUGUAAGCUAUCAUUCAGGCUUUCUUCUUCCUUUGGAUCACAGGUUUCCAACCCUAGUCCUGGAGUAUCCCCUGUCCUGCAAAUUUUAGGGUUCUCCCUGCUCUAACUCAUCCACUUCAACUCAUGAAGAACUGUUAAUUAGCUGGUGGUCGAAUCAGGUAUGUGGGAGCAUGGAAAACACUAAAAUGUGCAGAGGGUACUCUGGGACAAGAGUUGGGAAACCUGUGCUUUGGAGAAAAGUGGCCUCAACUGGAAAUGUUGAUGCUUCAGAAGAGAAACAACCAGGGGACUGUCCUCACUGAGUAAAUUUGGUGUCACUGCUUUGAUAUCACUUUGUAAAGAAGGUCUACACUUUAGAACCAACUGUUACCUUUCAUUCAUUCAUCAUCAGUAAACACGUUUUCCUGGUCAGGAUCACGGUGGAUCCAGAGUCUACCCUGGAAACACUGGGUGCAAGGCGGCAAUCCACCUGGAUGUGAUGCCAGUCACACCUAGGGGCAAUUUAGAGGAUUGGGAGGAAACCACAGAACCUGGAGGAAACCCACCUGGACAUGGGGAGGACAUGCUAAACUCCACAAGGCCAGUAGCCUGAGCUCAGGAUCAAAUCCAGGACCCUGUAGCUGUGAGGCAGCAAUAUACCGGCUAUACCACCAUGCCACCACAAGAACACUAGGCAUGAGGUGAAACUAGACAAACCCUUGAUUUUAUGGUGGUUUCUGCCCUGAGCAGAGUGUUCCACAUAAGUAUUACUUUUUGCAUACUAUCUGACGUCAAGAAAAUACCAUCACUGAAGACACUUCACAUUGUACAGGCUAUCAUACAGACUAUCUUCUAGCACAUAGAGACUUCUGUUCUCUUUCUGAAAGCAGGUUGGGAUACAAUGCCACAAGCAGUGUUUAAUAAGGAUCUAAUAAACAAACUCAUGCACACCCUCUUGAUUUACAGAGAAAACAGACUGAUACAUUUUAACUGCCUUUCUUUUGUGAGUCUCUUUCACUCCUCCUUCCCGUCUUCGUCUGUGGGCAAUGAGGAAAGCAGGGAAAAGUUCAAUCCACCCCAGCAACCAGCUGAUUCCCAUCCAAAAAGCUGGGAGGAGGAAUUAGUGGAAUGCACUGGUGCUUCGAGACAAACAACCCCACUUUGUUUCCUGCUCACUCUGAUACAGGAGGAAUGCAAGCGCUCUGAAAAGAGACGGCUUCACAAAGACUAACAUUUACCAUUGUUACACAGUAAAAACACUCUGCUCUUGUUAAAGAUCCAGGAGCUAAGAUAUUUUCUGGCUGCCACAUGAGCUUGCCUAAGCAUUAGAGAGGAUCCAUGAUGUGUCUGACUCUCGGGAAAAAAAAAAACUUCUACAAAGAUUCUACUGUAUCUCCUUAGUAGAAAUCUUCUACGCAGCCCAAUUGCAAAGAGGUUUAAACCAAACUUAUGCUAAGUAUGGCUGGGGGUCAUAGACAGGCCCAAUGGCCAGGCUAUCAUUGGAUGGGAGAGAUAGUUGUUUCCAAUGCUGCUGUCAGUCUCACUGAGAGGUAUAGUGAGCUCAGAAGUAUUGGCACCAUUGAGAUUGGAAAUAUGCAAGAAAUUUAACUGUUAAUGGAAAAUUCUAAGAAAAAUAUUAAAAAUCUAUUAAAAAUCAAGAAAUCAAGAAACAAAACCAAAAUUACAAUUAUUGGCAGUGUAACUGAAGAAGGUUCCCAUUUAUAAGUUCAGUGUUUAACAACACUGUUUUUAAUAACUUUAAAUAGGUUUGUGUGUUUAAGAACUUUUGAAUAGAGAUUAUGUUGUGUGUGAUGGUGUGUAUAAAUAUAUAAUAAGGAUGUAACUGAAUACAAAUAAAUAAUUCAGAAUGAACAGAUAAUGUGUUCUAAACAGAUACAAAUACAGAUAGGAAUAGUGUUUUUAGAAAGCUUGCCAUUUUUUUAAAUAUUUGGAGCUGAUAGAGUGUCCGUGUGUUGCAUCCCUAAUUGUGUAAUUGUGUAUUGAAGUCUGCCCAUGAAUGUGUGUUUGGCUGGCGCUUCUUCGAUUAGAUUGCCUUUCUGGAAUGUUCACUAUUCACAGAAUACACAAUGAUUCAUAUUUUAUAGUGUCUUUUUUGUAAAUUUUCUUAACUCUGUGAAAUAUUUAGAUGUUCAUGGUAUUAGAUUUGGCAAACACACCACACAGGAUUACUAUUUUGUUUAUUUUGCCUGCUCUGACACAUUUCAUACAGAUCAUAAAGAUCACUGAUAAUUAUCUGGCUAGUUAAUUCAGGCCAGUUGAAACAAAGACUCCUGAAGGCAACAAAUGCAAGUGCAUAGUUUCGUCCAAGAAUUGCUGAGCUGCUCCAAGAUGCUGCAUCAUCAGCAGUUGCAUGACAGUCUUUAUGCAUGACAGGAAACUAUGUAAAUGUUUGUCAUUGCAGUAAAGACCAGUGGGAACUGGCUGGGAAUGAGUUAAAAUAGAACAAGCUUAACUGACAUUCCUGCAUUGCUAGAAGAAACACAGGAUGCAAAUAAAGGCAUUGUUUUCCAAAUGACCAAAUGGACCACAGGGGAUGCUAAUGUAUGUCCUCUCAUCCCAUUCUACAUAAAUACUGAGCAAGGAUAAUAUUAGAUUGCAAGCACUUGCAAAACCUACUGACAAAGCUGAAGGUCGCAACCAUUUAUAUCAAGGUUGUAUGAGACAAGAGGCAGUUAAAGCCCUGAAGGUUGCACCGUGUAAAUGCACAGCUAUUACAGCUCUUUUUUAUUUUGGUAAACUAUGCAUCAAAUCGUUCGGAGUUAGUCAUGAGUGAAGGCCACACCACAAAAUAAUUUGGCUUUUAUUGUUGAAACAAGAGGAGGGAGAUUUCAACAUCAAUCGUUCUCCUUUGGCUGUUACAUAUAUAUUCUGCUGCUUUGUGACAAUGUCCUAUAAAAAAAAAAAAGCAAAAAAAAAAAGCACUAUACAAAUAAAAUUUAGUUGAAUUGAACAAACCAACUAUUUCAUAAGAAAAGAACACAGUCUAAAAAAAUAGUGAACUGAGGAAAGAAAGGAAAAUAUAGAUGGGAUCGGAACAUGAGAAGUAUUUUGCCAUUAGAUUUUGUGUUGUAAUUUACUGCAUGCUCUUAGAGAAAAGGUUUGAGAGAACAGGGGUGUUCAGUUGCAUACCUUGAGAUGUUGUGACCCAUCAGAGGUGGGUGGUGGUCAUUUGAUCAUUUUCGGUUUUCUGUCUACUUCCUGGAUUAUUUCAUAUAUAAGUCCAUGCUUACUGCGAAGUCUUUCCAUUCUCUUGCAGCAAGUUCUGAGCUUUGUUUCCCUGUUUGCCUUAUUCGCGCCUUGACAGUUUUCCCAUGGCCUUUUUGACUAUUCUUUUAGAUUCUCCUUGUGAUUUUGAUAUGUGAUGCCUACAACGUGUUUGAACUUUGCUAACUUGUAUUGUGAUUUAAUAAACUUUGCACAUGGAUCCUAUCUACUCUGCUGAGCCUGGUUUGUUACAAAGGGAUAGCAGAUACUGAAUGCCAGGAUGCAAUGAGUGGAGUAUAGUCACAAAGAGAACAUUCAUGGAGAUGUUUGCAGGAAAAAGAAAUAUUCCUUGUGGCUAAACUUUGUUGCACCAUCCAGCUGUGACCCACAGACAGGACGGGGUUGGAGACAGGCCUGGUCAGUUAGGGUCAGGAGAAAAAAAAAAAAAAAAAACAGUGGAUACCAAAUUCCUGGCCUCAGGAAUGACAAACAGAGCAGAUGACAAGAGCAAGAAAGUCAGAGCAAGUUUACUUGCUGUAGACAACUGUAGUCAUUAUGGGUUCAGUUGUUGGGUGUCCAUUAAGAAACAAAAACAAACAAGUUGACAGGUUCAAUUCAAUUAAAAUGUAUUUGUAUAGUGUUUUAACAAUAGAUACCGUGACUAAGCAGCUUUACAGAAAUUCGGAUGUAGAUUUAGGGCGUUUUUACAACUUGGGGGUCAUGAUUGCAGGUUUGCUUUCACAUAGAAGAAUUCCUUCUGAACCUUGGAUCGAUUGUGCAAUUCCAACCGUCACUUUGUGCAAAAUACUAAGCACUAGGUUCAUCUGCUGAGAGCAGAUAGCUUCCACACCUAAUGCAGACCGCAUCAUGGUUGGGUUGAAGCAAGCACCAGACCACCAUUUUCAAGAGGACCAGGGAUUGGUUCUCUGGACUACUCCUGAGUUCAAAAACAGCUUUCACACUUCACCAAAAGUACUGAACUCUUGUGGAAAGCAGCUGUGAAUCCAGAAAAAAUGCAGAACGUCAAGUCCCAAAUGAGCAAGCCAGUGGUAAGUAAAAACUCCCUGAGACAACAUGAGGAAGAAACCUUGAAGUGAAACCUCUACAGUAGGUGCUAAGAAUAUUGAUGAUUAUUAACAAAUGGAUGCUAUGAAGCUUAUAGCUCAAAAGUUUAAAAAAAAAAAAUACAUUCUACAGAACUUGGUGUCUUACAAGACAUGCAAUAUUCUUGAAGACCUGACAGCCUGACAGGCAAUUUAGCUGAUACUACAACACUCUAGAUCGGCUGGUUUGCCACAUGGAGUUUAGUCGUUGAGAUUCACUUUCCUAUUAGCUAAGAACUGCUGUGGUAGCUGACAGCAUAGACAAACCGCUCCCUGGGCCCCUGUUUGUCUGAUGUGGUCUGGCUGUUGUUGUAUCCACACUCCUCUGUCUGAUGUUCAUUAAACGAGGUGUCUUAAAUUUUCAUGAAAAUUCCCCAACCAAAUACCACCCCCUACCCUUCUCUCGGUUAACAUCUCUCCGAGAUCAGAGAGCGCUAAUCCGGGCUACAGCUGUGGUGAACUGUGUUAUAGACUACUCUUUCCUGCCUAAAACUCUUUGUAAUAGGAGAAUGUGUGAGCAAUAUGGUAUCUGGUUAUACAUAAAAAUGAGACUGGAGUUGCAAAAAUUAAAAAGUUUCUCAAUCGUUAAUCAUAAUGGAGUCUCUAAAGCAGGGGCCCCUUUAACUGUAAAAUAAAUUCCAUGGAUCAUGUACAGAGUUAUUUUAUGAAUAAUAUUUUGUAUACUUGUUAGAGCCAUAGAGCUUUCUAUUCCUGAGUUUUCCACUGACAGAACACAUUAGAUCCAAGUUGAUUUAUACUGUAGGCCUACUUGUUUUUUGUUAUUGAGUUAUUGGGGUUUGGAUUAAACCCAUUUAAUUCAUCCAGCCAGUCAAACAGGCAAAUAACUCUAAGACCUCAAUAAUAAAUAUAAUAACUUUCCACUGCAGUAACUAAAUGAGAACCACUUGAGAACCACUUCAUAAAAAAUAUUGUGUGAUUUAAAUCUUCUUUACAUGCUUCCUGAGUCCUACAGCAUGAACAUUUUAUUGGCACUUAAAAAAAUGACAUUUAUAUCAUUCACUUGUAAACACGUCUAGACGUGGCUAUACCCGGCCUUUAUUAGACGAGGCACAUCAGAAAUAAAUGACGCCCACCCAAUGUAUUACACCAAUGAAAGCCCAGGGAUGAACUGAAGUUGAAGUUGAUUGCUUGAUCCUUUCCCCUUGAUUUGACAGCGCAAGGAAAACGCAGGCUUUUAUCCUGCCGACUUCACCCAGAUGUCCCUCGACCGUGUCUUCAAAGGACACCAGCUUACAAAAAAACAACAUUUUUGCUCUAGGGGAGACUAGGGGUGUAACGCAACGACAUUAUCUCUAGCAGUAUCUGUUUAGUGCUCCAAAUACCCGUAUUUAUAUUUACCAUUUGGCCCCAGAAACACUGGAAAAACCCAGAAGUAGAAAUGGCAGAGGUAGAAUUGAAUAGUACUCCUCUUAUAUAUAUAUAUCUGCAUAGAACACAUCAACUGUUCAUUCUGAAUAAUGUAUUCAUAUUUGUUACACCCCUUAGUCCAGGUAGAUGCUUCAAGAAAGAUUAGUUUCUUGCUGGAUGGUGAGAGUAAACUGGCAACCUGGCCCUCGAGUUGUCGAUCCAACCUAACAAAGGCUUCACCAGAGUUUGAGUCAUGCUUAUGAAUACCAGGAUGUUAAAUCAUCAGUGUUACUGCCAAUCGGGACAGUGUGGUCAGGCCAGACAGGUAUAAUUCUGUCAUGCCAUAUUACUAUCACCAAGCCCAGAUUCCAAUAGGAUCUCUGGAUGGGGAUUUUUUUUUUUUUUUUACAGUCUCUGGCACUGGGACAUGAUGUCCAGUCCACCAGACGUCAGACAGGAAGCUUAAUGCCCCCAAGGAUAUUCGUGUCACACCAUGGCUCGAUGUGUCACCCAGUGACAAAAAUGCAUUAUUGAUUUCACACUAGCUUCUUGUGCCUCAGUACUUCAUCUGGAAAGAUCUCAAAGUCUGUCUCCUUCCCAGACGUUCCGAAGCGCUUCUUAAGACGCCCUCUGAGGCCACGCCCCUUCACUGGAAAGAAAGAUACUGAAAUGCACGAUGCCAAAGGAAAGUCAUUAGAUAACGUUUCUAAAAAAAAAAAAAAAAAAAAAAUUUAAGUGCACUGAUUUGAAAAAAAAAAAGAAAAAGGUACUAAGGAGAACCUUUCAUUGUUGCUGUGGUGGAGGCACAUAUUUUGUAGCUUUCGGUAAGUACCUUUUACGUUUGCAUGUACAGGACCUUUGAAAUGUUUACAAACUUUUGCACAAAACCAGAUUCUACAUCUGAAGUUCAAUGAACCAUACAAAGUUUAACCCCAACAACAAUCUGCAAUCACUGUUUUUUUUGCCAGUUUUAUCUCUCAACCAGGAAUUCUCAUGGCUUAUUCACACGGCACGACCCUCCGGUGCUCCACAACUAACAAUGCAACAGCACAGGAUGAAGCACGAUUGCGCCAAAUAUAGCAACAGCAGCCUCGAGCGUGACCUUUCCCUCCCUGGAGCUAAUCCGGGUGGGCUCCAAGCACUGAUUGUAGAGACAUCUGUCCCAGAAAAAUGAAAUAGGACCCGGAACCUUCUGCUACGCUGAAUAACCCCUUUAACACUCCUUUGUGAAUGGAGGUGCAGGGAGUUAAGGGAAAAUGAUGCCAUGCUGUAGUUGGUACACCUGGACCUUCUUGGUGGCACGCUGUCUGAAUCAGAGCAAGUGCAGCACUAGUGUGACCUUUUUAGGAAGAGCUCCUGCAGAUGUCUCACACCUCAGGAAUUUCAGGAAUACAACCAGCUGGAGAAUGAGCUCUGCUACGCAGGUGGUCCAAUUAUAGUCAUUCCGAACAAACCUGGUGCUCCACAUCAUCUACGAUGGUCUACGAGAAUCUACGAGAUCAUCUACCAUGUUCUGUUGGGGGCUUUUGGGUCUCGUGCGUGUAGUACUUCAUGUUUGUCUGAUCAUAGAUUAAUUUCAGUCGUUACCUUUUAAAUCCAAAUUGUUGGAUCAUUCCACCCCGUAGUCACUCUGUGUGACAAAGUUUUGAACUACAAUCACUUUACGCAAUAACAGCUAUGACGUACCUUAAGUGUCUGAGGUGCAACCGAAGUUCCACACCAGUCCUCCUGAUGUAUGGUUUAGGAUCGAUUUUACAACCUGGCCGAGCAUCUCCAGUUCACACCAAAGACCGUCUGGCUUUUUGUCUUUAUCUAUCUGCAGCUGGCUGUAAAAUCUUUUUAAUGUUCAUCAGGAUGUGCAAAUGUAUAAUUUGCAUAAAAACAGGUGAAUAAAAACAGCCCCGUUUUCUCCUGCUGUACACUCCUGUGAUCUUUCUUGCUUCAAUAUCUGCAUAUCGUAUAUACACGCGUCAGUAAUACUUUGUGUCUUUGUUCUCGAUCUACUUUCCUCAGUUCAGUGGGUUACGUUAAGGAUCACGUAACUUCCGACUUCAAAGAGCCAUGUGACGAUUUAACCACACUGGAAAUUCCUCUCACGAGCACGGUGGUCAGAUAGUCUUUAAGAAUGACUUUGGCAAAAGAGGAACAUGUUGAAAUCAUUCUCAUGGCUGGAUCGGGAAGCUGUCGCAAGGUUGCGUUGGACUUUAACAGGAACCAUGGCAAGCUCAUCAUGCACGACACUGUUGCCA